rnacentral:rRNA from 1 species
CCGGCACGGGUGAGUAACACGUAUGCAAUCCACCUGUAACAGGGGGAUAACCCGGAGAAAUCCGGACUAAUACCCCAUAAUAUGGGCGCUCCGCAUGGAGAGCCUAUUAAAGAGAGCAAUUUUGGUUACAGACGAGCAUGCGCUCCAUUAGCCAGUUGGCGGGGUAACGGCCCACCAAAGCGACGAUGGAUAGGGGUUCUGAGAGGAGGGUCCCCCACAUUGGAACUGAGACACGGUCCAA